rnacentral:hammerhead_ribozyme from 1 species
AUCCAUUUGACGAGUCCCAAGUGGGACGAAACUCGCGUUCUGGAU